UCAUUUCUUUGUCAGUGGGCAAACGUACAAAAUCAGCAGGGGAUCAAAUACUUUUUUCCCUCACUAUAUCUUUGAAGACCAUCCAAUUUAGAUUUUUUGAUUUUUUGAUUUCACCUUUAUUUAACCAGGUAGGCUAGUUGAGAACAAGUUCUCAUUUUCAGCUGUGACCUGGCCAAGAUAAAGCAAAGCAGUUUGACAUAUACAACAAUACAGAGUUACGCGUGGAAUAAACAAACAUACAUUAAAUAAUAUACAUUUCUGGCUGCCAUAUAUUUUUCAACUGUGCUGUGAUUUUUCAUAAAAGUUCUGAACCUUUCUAUACUCAUAGUUUCUACAGAUUGUAAAUGAAAGAUAAACACCUUUGCUAUGAGUAUUAUUAUUCUAUUGAUCGAUUGACUAUGACUUGACUAUCACCCAGCAGAGCUAUUUGCAAAGUUGGCUCCAAGUAAAUUUGGCAAUUUUUCGGCCAUUUCUGAACCUGCGACCAAAAACAAACUAGUAACUACAUAUGGACAGUACCAAAACAAAUGAUCCAAAUAUUCUGUCUCUUUGCAACAAAAUCUGCAAAGCUGGGAUGGUUGUAGCCCCAUAUAUAUAACAUUCUAUUGGUUGCAAGAAUGUUAUAGAAUAUUUUAAAUGGAAAAACUCUGGUUGUGUUUUUUGGUCCUUAAAUGAAACUGGUAUACUUUGUUAUUUAUCACAAUUGUCUUUAGAAAAAUGUUGGUAUUUAAUGCAGGUCCGAGGGACAAGUUCCUUACCUUCUCCCCUUUCCACUUGCCUCCUCCAUUUUUGCGGUAAUGCUGCAAUCAGUUGGUUGUAAUUUUGGAUAGAACAGACAUUUCCAUAUAUUUUUUGUUAACUGCAUGUAUGAAAUAACUCCACCAGUCCUAUUUCUGAUAUAAUUUACAAAGAUUAUACUGUCUUUUUUAAAAUCAAUUAGUGUAUUUGAUUUCAACCAUUGUAUUUGUUCUAAUAUUUGUUCUGUCUUUUCUGGUGGAUUAAACUGAAAUUGCAACCAGUUUUCUAUUCCUUGUUUUAAAAAUAGCCAUAUUUUGGAGAUUAUUUCAUUUUCAAAUAACUGAAAGUGAGAGGUUGUAAUCUGGAUGAAGGUAAAAAGGCCAUUCUUGAACACGGGGUGAUUCACUCUUACUAAUCUCCGAGAGCAGGUAUUCUACUAGAGCAGGUAUUCUACUAGAGCAGGUAUUCUACUAGAGCAGGUAUUCUACUAGAGCAGGUAUUCUACUAGAGCAGGUAUUCUCCUAGAGCAGGUAUUCUACUAGAGCAGGUAUUCUACUAGAGCAGGUAUUCUCCUAGAGCAGGUAUUCUCCGAGAGCAGGUAUUCUACUAGAGCAGGUAUUCUACUAGAGCAGGUAUUCUCCGAGAGCAGGUAUUCUACUAGAGCAGGUAUUCUACUAGAGCAGGUAUUCUCCGAGAGCAGGUAUUCUCCUAGAGCAGGUAUUCUACUA